UUUAAACCAUCACUAUUUGUUGAUUAAUUAUCCACGCAAACGUGCUUAAGCAACCAGACCACGUAUCUAUCAAUAUGACCAGGAACAGACUGUGUAAGCUCUGAAACGUUUAACAAGCUGAUGCAAAAGGAAUUCGACAGUGGAUGGUGGUAAUCUUGACAGCAAGAGAUAAAAUAUUGUCAAGUCCGCACCAUAUUAGCUUUCAGACACAGCUUCUCUUUCUCUAUCUCUUAAUUUUGUCUUAUUCAGUCUCAAUGUUUUCUCCAGGGCAUUCUUAACGAAUGCAUUGAUAAGAAUUGAUUAACACGUGUAUCUGAAAAGAGAUUGAUUAAUAAAUGCACUAUUAUUAUAUGUGCAACUAGUCAGAUAAUAUUGCAUACUAUCAGUAGUUUUCUGAAUGCAAUUUGUCAUUGUCAUGGCUGGAUCUAAGUGCUCAUUGGAUGUUUUCGUGGGCUAAAGUUUAUUGGAGAGGAUCGAAUUCCCUUUAUUGUCCUGAAGCACACUGUGGGGAUCCAUCUUUUUUGCAGAAAAGUUUCUAUGAUUAUGCUGAAGAGUGAUGAUCUCAUAAGCUUGAGCUAAAAGUUGUUGAUACCAGAUAUUCAGAACUGGAGUUUGACUCCAUCUGCUUAGAGUAUGGUCAAGCAUUUGUGAAACCUGCAAGAGUUAAACAGGAAAAGAAGAAACUGAACCCUUAUGAUUAUAAUGGACAAAUGGAAUAGCUUUGUGAGAGAUUACAGACAGUAGUAAAAGCUAGAUUUUUGGAAAAGAGAUGAGGAUGCUGGUGUGGAGCACCUGGCUGCAGAUGGAAGAGAGAGAAGAAUCUGAGCCAUUUAGAUCACAAGGCCUGUUCAAACACGAAGGUGGUGCCACCGCCCCCACUCAAGGGACCUUUCAUUCCAGUAAAGCAUUUUCCAGAACUGAUUGAACAUGACAGCUUUUCUAUCAACUUGACAUUGAAUUAUUCGAAGACCAUUCUGCUCCAAUCCAGAGGAUAAGUCCCAUUUUAAGAACCAUCUUUCUCUAGCGCCCCCAAGCACUCCCACGCAUUUCAGUUUCAGAAAAGGAAAAGAGCCUUCGCUUUAUGAUCCUAAAAAAAAAAAGAGAAAGGAAAAAUUGCCAAUUGCCAACCUCGUUUAUUUCUCUCAACCUCGUGUAUUUCUCUUUCUAUCUCCUUAAAUCUUCUAUGAUACACUUUUAGGCUCACACGCAUAUCUCUGUAGCCUUCACCAUAUUUACAGACAAAAUAUAGAAAGAAAGAGCCUUUCAGGUAAAGUGUUUCUCUGUAGUUUGUUUUCUGUAUGCCAAAAAUCCUUCUCAAAAGCUAGUUGGUUUUAAACAAUGAAGAAAGGGAGGUAUGGUGUGGACAAUCCCUUAGAAACCAACUUGAUUGUCCCAUUUUGGCAAGAAGGGAUCUAUUUAUCCAUGCUUUCCUGUUGCAAUGCUCUUGCUCCUUGUGUUAUGGUGCUUCCAAACAGCAGGCACUUUCAUGCCUCAUUAUUUCAAGAAACUAAUUGAGCUCCGUUUGAUCUCCAAAAAGCUUCAUGUAUCAAUUCAGACUAAAAUAUGUGCCUGUGUGAGAUCCCUGUGUGCCUGGCUCCCUGCAUGCCAUUUGCAUAGCUCAUCAGAACGUCGGUGGCCUUGGUGGAUGGCGUGCAACGAGUCAUGCAUGCUGUGAGUUAUUUAUCAGAGAAGGGAACAUUGUUACAUUAAUUGUACGUAGGAGUUCAUGUCUGGUAAGAUAUGUAUAUAUACGGUCGACCAUAUGUCGUUAGGAUUUUUUACCAUCCCAUAACGCAGUUUUUCUGUCUCAGUGGUAUGAUUGAAGCCUCGUUAGGAUGUCCUGUUUAGAAAGCUUGACUGUGCCGUGCAUUGAGGGAAACUAGGAAGCUGUAGACUUUCGGGUAUGGUUUGCAUCCAUCUUGACGGACAGAAACAAGAAUUUAUGUUCAUGAUGGAAAAGAGUCACGCCUAUACUUAAUAGUUUUCACUUUCAUACUGCCAGGUUACCAGCUUGAUUUUGACACAACCCUAAUCAUCCACAGGAGAUCUUGAUGCUCUGACCAGACCCUCUCUAUUUUGUCCCUCCUCCAAAGCAUGAAGAGACAACAAAAGAAACAUCUUCGCAUGAAGAAAGCUGUUGGAUUUAAUAGAAUUCAACAAAAUACUGCCGUGCUAUUUUUACAUUUAUACUGCAGCACACGAGAUAAAGCGGUUUAAGGAAGCUCUUAGCAUUCGUAGUUUCCUGCUGAUUCAUGCCCAUUUCAUGCUCCUCUCUUUUAUUUUACGAUGGAUCUAUCAACCAAUCUACACUAAACCGCAAUACACAUGUAUUUCACACAAUAACAAGUUAAAAUUCAUUUAAACCAACGACUACUCUACAGCAUCUUUCAGUAAA